ACUUGCGGUGAUUCGGCUACAGAACGCGCCGGGCGCUGGUGGCAGGUGGUACAGGCACGUGGAUCCACCGACCACAAGGACGGAUUCGAUUGGAUUCUGAUUGACCGGCGGACCAGCUCCAGAGUAAUUGUCUAUGGCUGCCCCUGCAAUGACUGAUUGAUUGACAAUGGCUGAGAGACCAGCAAGUGAGUCGCUCCGAGAAAGCGAAGGAGCCCACUCUUGUGCGGCGCUUUGGGAAGACGCCUGUUGGUUUUGACCCCGAAUAAGAAGAGGAAGCUGAGAGCGGGCUGACUGUGGUCCAGUCCUACUUCGAUUCAGUGUGAACUGACACUCUGAUCUGAAGACGCUCAGGCCUUUGUCAUUUCAGCACCCCAGAUGCUAUUUUCCAUUCGAAGAAUGCCGCCACCAGGUGGCGGUAUUUUAACAUGGCCAUGCAAUCCGGGAGGCUCCAGUGAUGGGGAGCGGCUGUAAAUACAGAUGAAGCUUUGCUGCCUGCCUGCUCACUGCCUGCCUGCUCACCUCCUGCUCUGCGGCCCAGUUCCUAACAGGCCACAGACAGGUACCAGUCUAUGGCCCAGAUGAUGCAGACCCCUGUCUUAAACAAAAACAAAAAACCAAAGCACACUUAAUGUGAGAUCUAC
rnacentral:lncRNA from 1 species